UACGGGGGGAGCAAGCGUUGUUCGGAUUUACUGGGCGUAAAGGGCGCGUAGGCGGCGCGACAAGUCACUUGUGAAAUCUCCGGGCUUAACCCGGAGCGGCCAAGUGAUACUGUCGUGCUAGAGUGCGGAAGGGGCUACUGGAAUUCUCGGUGUAGCGGUGAAACGCGUAGAUAUCGAGAGGAACACCUGCGGCGAAGGCGGGUAGCUGGGCCGACACUGACGCUGAGGCGCGAAAGCCAGGGGAGCGAACGGG
rnacentral:rRNA from 1 species